CAGCUGGAGCAGGCCAGGUCUGAUUGGGAGGUCUCUUGGCCAGAGGGUUGGGGCAGGAAGAGGAGGGGCUGAAGGCUGGAGGAAAUGCCUGUUGUCUCAGGUAACCAGAGAAGCUGAUGCAUCCACCCAAGAGGGACCCUGGGCUCCAGGUCAAAGCCAAGAGGAUCCCUUAGCAGCACUGACCCUCCUGACGUUCCUGAAACUUGGCUGCCUCUAAAGCUCCUGAAGCCCCAGUGAUGGACGAACCAGGGAUAAUGGACUCCCCGCUUUGCCUGCCAUAUCACCUUGUACAGUCCGAUCCAG